rnacentral:misc_RNA from 1 species
UGUGGGAGGGGGCUUGCUCCCGAUGAGGACGUGUCAGUGAAUGCAUCAAUACCUGACCCACCGCCAUCGGGAGCAAGCCCCCUCCCACA